ACGAACGCUGGCGGCGGGCUUAACACCUGCAAGGCGAACGGAAAGGCCCUGCUUUUGUGGGGUUCUCGGGUGGCGAACGGGUGAGUAACACGGGAGUAACCUUCCCUUGACUUUUGGAUAACUUCAGGAAACUGGGGCUAAUACCGGGUAAGAGCUCCUGCUGCAUGGUGGGGGUUGGAAAGUUUCGGCGGUUGGGGAUGGACUCGCGGCUUAUCAGCUUGUUGGUGGGGUAGUGGCUUACCAAGGCUUUGACGGGUAGCCGGCCUGAGAGGGUGACCGGCCACAUUGGGACUGAGAUACGGCCCAGACUCCUACGGGAGGCAGCAGUGGGGAAUAUUGCACAAUGGGCGGAAGCCUGAUGCAGCAACGCCGCGUGCGGGAUGACGGCCUUCGGGUUGUAAACCGCUUUCGCCUGUGACGAAGCGUGAGUGACGGUAAUGGGUAAAGAAGCACCGGCUAACUACGUG
rnacentral:rRNA from 1 species